rnacentral:rRNA from 1 species
GAUGAACGCUGGCGGCGUGCCUAAUACAUGCAAGUCGAGCGAACGGACGAGAAGCUUGCUUCUCUGAUGUUGGCGGCGGACGGGUGAGUAACACGUGGAUAACCUACCUAUAAGACUGGGAUAACUUCGGGAAACCGUAGCUAAUACCGGAUAAUAUUUUGAACCGCAUGGUUCAAAAGUGAAAGACGGUCUUGCUGUCACUUAUAGAUGGAUCCGCGCUGCAUUAGCUAGUUGGUAAGGUAACGGCUUACCAAGGCAACGAUGCAUAGCCGACCUGAGAGGGUGAUCGGCCACACUGGAACUGAGACACGGUCCAGACUCCUACGGGAGGCAGCAGUAGGGAAUCUUCCGCAAUGGGCGAAAGCCUGACGGAGCAACGCCGCGUGAGUGAUGAAGGUCUUCGGAUCGUAAAACUCUGUUAUUAGGGAAGAACAUAUGUGUAAGUAACUGUGCACAGCUUGACGGUACCUAAUCAGAAAGCCACGGCUAACUACGUG